ensembl:lncRNA
UUUUGCUGGAGAUCUUUGUGUGCCUGAGGCCUUCUGAAGAGUGGGUAAAGAGGGCGUUCUGCAUCACAGUCUUGUGCUGUUGCUUCGUAAGAGAGCCAGGAGUAAUACCCUAGCACAGCACAAAAUGGAAGUGGGAAGACGGGAUAAGUUGAAGAUGGGACUAACGUACACAGAUGUUUGAAUGGACUUUAUUCUUCAUUAAAAUACAACUGCUGGUGGGAUUAAGGAAGGAGUAUGUCACCACUGAGAUUAUGAAGCAGUGGGUGUCUUCAAGAAGACGAAUACACAAGAAUAGUUGUACUACCAUAGAAUGACCUGGGCUGGAAGGGACCUUGAGGAGCACCUAGUUCCAACACUGUCCUGUGGGCAGGGUUAUUAUACCACUGUAUAGUUUUUAUUAUAUGUAAUAUUUCUUUAUGAUUUCAGUUUCCCAUUUAUUUUAUUUUUUUUCCCCAGAAUUUACAUUCCAAGAAUAAUUGUGAGAUUUUUGAUUGCAAAUUCCUUUCCAGUAACAGAAACAACAGUGAAUUUUCUGAAAAAUAGAAUUGUAAAUUCCGUGCUAUGCUAGUCAUGGUUUAAGACUUAUUAGACAAAUGUAUUUAGAUGGAUUGCCUACCUGCAGAAAAAUAAGCUUUAGUGUCUCAUAAUGUUACUUGACUGCAUUCCCAUGAGUGACGCCUUCCCUUCAUAAUUUUUAGUGUCAUCUAAUUUAUUGCUUUUUGCUUCAGAUCAUGAAGUUCCCACAAGGUAUAGAAGUGUGUGUUGUUCAAACUUUUAUUAGAUACAUAAAGAUGUAAUAAAAACAUCAUCCUACCAUUUUUGGAGGGAAAUUUUUGGCUGGCUUGAGAAUCACAGUCUAGGUGCAGAGGACUAUGUAAUCCAUUUCUUAGCAGUUGAGACAGCAAAAUCUGUAAGGUAAUUUACAUUAUUGCAGCAGAAGUCUUCAACAGAGUUUAAUUAAAAUGGUUCAUUGAUCUGAAGAUACUCACGAUUUAGCACUGAAAUUAAAGAAAUCCACAUCAACAGAACUUUUUCUCAGGCUCAUGAUGCCAGAUGGCAUUGCUUUGCAUAUGUAUGUAUCAUGUGUAUAAAUCUACAUUUAAUGACCAAAAUAUGGAAUGGUUUUUCAACCACUCCCAAGUAAAUGAUGUAAUGCCAAGAUAUGAGGCACCUGGUUCUGACUGCUAGAUUCAGAUCACUUAAGUGAGGCACCUGGGUUUUUUAUACAGUUCUUGGAGAGAAUCAUAGAAUUGCUCACAUUGGAAAAGACCUUAAAGAUUAUCAAGUCCAACUGCAACUUAACCAUACUACCCUAACUCUAACAACCCUCAGCUAAAUCAUGUCCCUGAGUGUGGGUGAACUAAAGAGGGAACUUUUCUGGUGAGUUGCUUAGAGCCUGAGAGUAAACAUAGGUAUUACACUUACACUGCAUAGGUCUGAGCCCUGUGCUUUGGGUGUUUCCAUUUGGCUCCAGCUCUGCUUCUGUGUAUCAAUGUUUAACUAGAAGGGAAUAUUUGUGUAUCUAAAGCACAGACAUGUUAAUGGUGGCAGAUUACAACAAUACACAUAAUGCAGUUAGACUGUGAAGCAUACAGUCACAAAAGUAUUCAGAAAAUAAAGUUAAUUCUUGAAGCAGGUUUGAAGUUUUUGUCUCAAUUUAGGUAUAUGCUAAUUUGUCUCUCUAUAUAUUAAUACACAUUCAAUAAUCAAAAUACAUUUGUGUCUGAUCUAUAUACACAUGACCUGAAUACUUUUCUAAACCUAGAAAAUGGUCUUGUACUCCAUGUCACCAAUUUCUGUUUGGGAGAUAAAUUAGACCAUUACAAAUGCCCUGAACUAGUAAACCUCGAAAAAGGGUAACAAUAUUUAAACAGUGUUUACAGAGUGAGUUUAUGGUUUUCUUCCUGGCUUGGGUGAAAUUAGGUGGGGCUGAUAUAGUUCAGUGCCAAGAAAAGCAUAUAUAUGUGUCUCAAAGUGGCCUUUUAGUGAACUUAUCCAAUUCAAUACCUCAAAAAAAAAAAAAAAGAAAGUCUGAUAUGCAAUAUAUUUAGCACUUUUAUAGUAUGGGUUUUUUGUUCUUCCUCUUGGAAUUGCUGAGCUGAAGGUCAGGCAUUAUGCUUUUGUCUCACUUCUGUAUGAGUAUAAAUUAAUUUCAUAUAGGCUGUGCCUCCUAAACUUCGAAGAGUUGAGAAUAUACUUAAUCAUGAUCCUACUUCCCAAAGACACAGAAUUUGUAAUGUUUUAAAGAAAACAAAUGACCAAUAUUUGGUUGAGGGUGAAAGGAAAAGAACAGAUGUGUUAAAACAGGCUUUCAUAAAUGUAUUAUUUUUGGAAAUAAUAAAAUUUGAAGAUAAAGUAUGC